rnacentral:piRNA from 1 species
UACUGGAGGUGAAGUUCUAAUAUCCCC